rnacentral:rRNA from 1 species
UACGUAGGGGCAAGCGUUAUCCGGAUUUACUGGGUGUAAAGGGAGCGUAGGUGGCAAAGUAAGUCAGAUGUGAAAUCCCCGGGCUUAACCUGGGAACUGCAUUUGUGACUGCAGUGCUAGAGUGUGUCAGAGGGGGGUGGAAUUCCACGUGUAGCAGUGAAAUGCGUAGAGAUGUGGAGGAACACCGAUGGCGAAGGCAGCCCCCUGGGAUAACACUGACGCUCAGGCACGAAAGCGUGGGGAGGCAAACAGGAUUAGAUACCCU